UACGGAGGGUGCAAGCGUUGUUCGGAAUUAUUGGGCGUAAAGCGCGUGUAGGCGGUUUGGUAAGUCUGAUGUGAAAGCCCUGGGCUCAACCUAGGAAGUGCAUUGGAAACUGCCAGACUUGAGUACGGGAGAGGGAAGUGGAAUUCCUAGUGUAGGAGUGAAAUCCGUAGAUAUUAGGAGGAACACCGGUGGCGAAGGCGGCUUCCUGGACCGAUACUGACGCUGAGACGCGAAAGCGUGGGGAG
rnacentral:rRNA from 1 species